AGGGCUUUAGUUUAGUUAAAAUAUCUGGCUUGCACUCAGAAGAUGCGGAUUAGUUGUCCGUAGGUCCUA
rnacentral:tRNA from 1 species